ACAGAGGGUGCGAGCGUUAAUCGGAAUUACUGGGCGUAAAGCGCACGUAGGCGGCUUGGUAUGUCGGGUGUGAAAUCCCCGGGCUCAACCUGGGAACUGCAUCCGAAACUGCCUUGCUCGAGUAUGGGAGAGGGAAGUGGAAUUUCCGGUGUAGCGGUGAAAUGCGUAGAUAUCGGAAGGAACAUCAGUGGCGAAGGCGACUCACUGGACCGGAACUGACGCUGAGGCGCGAAAGCGUGGGGAACAAACAGGA
rnacentral:rRNA from 1 species